rnacentral:rRNA from 1 species
UACAGAGGGGGCGAGCGUUGUUCGGAAUUACUGGGCGUAAAGGGCGCGUAGGCGGCCUUCUAAGUCGAACGUGAAAUCCCCGGGCUCAACCCGGGAACUGCGUCCGAUACUGGGAGGCUUGAAUCCGGGAGAGGGAUGUGGAAUUCCAGGUGUAGCGGUGAAAUGCGUAGAUAUCAGGAGGAACACCGGUGGCGAAGGCGGCCCUCUGGACGGUGACUGACGCUGAGACGCGAAAGCGUGGGGAGCAAACAGG